rnacentral:lncRNA from 1 species
AGUGGAAGUUCUUUGUUUAUUUCUAAUGGUUUCUAUAUAUAUAGGAUUUUUUGUAUUGGAAACACGCUAAACGGAGCCACGUGGGUCCCACAAGCCAUCUGUGCGUGGCCAGGAGGGGUCGCCACGCCCUGUUGGCUUGUGGCCCAUAGGUGGCUCCUCUCUGGUGGUUCUUUUCUCCAGUAUUGCUAAUAUAUUACAAAACAAAUCGUCAAAGAGUUUCAGGCGAGUCCGAGAA